UACAGAGGUCUCAAGCGUUGUUCGGACUCAUUGGGCGUAAAGGGUGCGUAGGCGGCGCGGUAAGUCGGGUGUGAAAUCUCGGAGCUUAACUCCGAAACUGCAUUCGAUACUGCCGUGCUUGAGGACUGGAGAGGAGACUGGAAUUUACGGUGUAGCGGUGAAAUGCGUAGAUAUCGUAAGGAAGACCAGUGGCGAAGGCGGGUCUCUGGACAGUUCCUGACGCUGAGGCACGAAGGUCAGGGGAGCAAACGGG
rnacentral:rRNA from 1 species